rnacentral:rRNA from 1 species
UAGCCAGACUCCUACGGGAGGCAGCAGUGGGGAAUAUUGCACAAUGGGGGAAACCCUGAUGCAGCGACGCCGCGUGAGUGAAGAAGUAUUUCGGUAUGUAAAGCUCUAUCAGCAGGGAAGAAGAUGACGGUACCUGACCAAGAAGCCCCGACUAACUACGUGCCAGCAGCCGCGGUAAUACGUAGGGGGCAAGCGUUAUCCGGAUUUACUGGGUGUAAAGGGAGCGCAGACGGCAGUGCAAGUCUGGAGUGAAAGCCCGGGGCCCAACCCCGGAACUGCUCUGGAAACUGUGCGGCUAGAGUACUGGAGGGGCAGGCGGAAUUCCUAGUGUAGCGGUGAAAUGCGUAGAUAUUCGGAGGAACACCGGUGGCGAAGGCGGCCAACUGGGCUUUAACUGACGCUGAGGCUCGAAAGUGUGGGGAGCAAACAGGAUUAGAUACCCUUGUAU